rnacentral:rRNA from 1 species
UACAGAGGUCCCGAGCGUUGUUCGGAUUCAUUGGGCGUAAAGGGUGCGUAGGCGGUCUGCUAAGUUUGGUGUGAAAUCCCGGGGCUCAACCCUGGAAUGGCAUUGAAUACUGGCGGACUAGAGUACCGGAGAGGGAACUGGAAUUUACGGUGUAGCAGUGAAAUGCGUAGAUAUCGUUUGGAACGCCAAUGGUGAAAACAGGUUGCUGGGAGUGUGCUGACGCUGAGACACGAAAGCCAGGGGAGCAAACGGG